UACGGAGGGGACUAGCGUUGUUCGGAAUUACUGGGCGUAAAGCGCACGUAGGCGGAUUUGUAAGUCAGGGGUGAAAUCCCGGGGCUCAACCCCGGAACUGCCUUUGAUACUGCAAAUCUCGAGUCCGGAAGAGGUGAGUGGAAUUCCUAGUGUAGAGGUGAAAUUCGUAGAUAUUAGGAAGAACACCAGUGGCGAAGGCGGGCUCACUGGUCCGGUACUGACGCUGAGGUGCGAAAGCGUGGGGAGCAAACAGGG
rnacentral:rRNA from 1 species